rnacentral:rRNA from 1 species
AACGAGCGCUGGCGGCAGGCUUAACACAUGCAAGUCGAACGCCCCGCAAGGGGAGUGGCAGACGGGUGAGUAACACGUGGGAACAUGCCCAAAGGUACGGAAUAUUCUCGGGAAACUGGGAGCAAUACCGUAUGUGCCCGAAAGGGGAAAGAUUUAUCGCCUUUGGAUUGGCCCGCGUUGGAUUAGCUAGUUGGUGGGGUAAAAGCCUACCAAGGCGACGAUCCAUAGCUGGUCUGAGAGGACGACCAGCCACACUGGGACUGAGACACGGCCCAGACUCCUACGGGAGGCAGCAGUGGGGAAUCUUGGACAAUGGGCGCAAGCCUGAUCCAGCCAUGCCGCGUGAGUGAUGAAGGCCCUAGGGUUGUAAAACUCUUUCGUGGGGGACGAUAAUGACGGUACCCCAAGAAGAAGCUCCGGCUAACUUCGUGCCAGCCGCCGCCGUAACAC